UUUCUCUAUCAAAUUGAAUUAAUUUCCACGAAUCUCGCGAGCAGUGCUGCGAGUGAUUUGUUUUCACGUGCCUCGCACAAGUACGUGCGGACAGCACCGCGUACCUGGAACGGGCAAAAAACAACAGCGGCUUCUAUUGCUGCAUUUCAAGAAUUCGCUUGAUAAGAGCUACCGAUGCUGCUCGACAGAGAGAGGGGGGGGGGAGGUAGGGGGGUUCGUUUUGAUUUCGUUACUAUUUAUUGAGCCGUUGGCACAAUCGAUUGCGUUCAAUCGCUUACAAUUGGUCGGCCGUGAUUCUUCUUUGCAAUCGCUCUAAAGUAGUGUAGUCCAGGCUGAACGAAUAAUAAUCAUGUUGCAGUGCGUGGUGGCUUUGGUGAUGGGCUUGUUCUCCAUCCUUGCGAUGCAUGAGGGCCUCACAGUUAUACUAGGGGCAUCAAACAUCUGCCCGCAAGGAAUGCGGCUGGAUCAUCGUGGCGUGUGUCGGAAUAUCUUUGAUUGGCAUGAUUCUGAUGCAAUCAGUGCGUAACGAAGCAGAACGUUCAAUUAGAAGCAGUAUAUGUGUGUGUGUUUGUGUUAAAAUUGAAAUAAUGCAUACUUUAUGCUUAGUGAAAACUGAUCUUAAAAUAAGUUAACAUUACUUUUAGCUCAUAAGCUUUUGAAUUAUUCGCCCCAAGUGGACAAACCAUUGGUUCUGCGUUAAUUAAGUAGUGCAAGAAUCCAUCCUCAAGUACACAGUAAGUUUACUUAAUAUAAUAAAAUGUGGAUGAAAGUGUUUGAUUUCGAA